UACGUAGGGAGCAAGCGUUGUCCGGAAUCAUUGGGCGUAAAGCGCGCGUAGGCGGCCCUGUAAGUCCGUUGUGAAAGUCAAAGGCUCAACCUUUGAAAGCCGAUGGAUACUGCAGGGCUAGAGUCCGGAAGAGGCGAGUGGAAUUCCUGGUGUAGCGGUGGAAUGCGCAGAUAUCAGGAGGAACACCAAUAGCGAAGGCAGCACUCUGGGACGUGACUGACGCUGAGACGCGAAAGCGUGGGGAGCAAACAGG
rnacentral:rRNA from 1 species